GGCCACCUAAAGUACGAGAAUGAGAUAGUAAAGACAGGACCAGCCUUCUCAUCUACUUCACAUUUAUCACUGCCAUAGGUAUUGAGGCAACCAGGUUCAUCGAAGUCACCCAGACUCACCCGGAACAGCUAAAAGAGGCUUCUGUGAGGCCGGAGGGACAUUGCUGGAACAACUCUUGGGCUGGGGCAACUGGCUAAAAUGUUUUAAACUGUUCUAAUUUUGGUUCCUCAGUUUUUUGUUGGGUUGGUGUUGGUUAAAUGUUUAGUUGAAGUUGGCGGUAAUUUUAAUUUGGGUAUAACUGUAAACUGUUUAUUAUUGUUGUUAUUGGUUUCUAUUGAUUUAGUGGUUUGUUUGUUGCUUGUCAGCAUAUUUUGUUUUUUAAUGUUUGAUAUGUUUUUAUGUAUGUUGUAAGCCACCAAGAGUGGCUGGGGAAACCCAAUCAGAUGGGCAGGAUAAAUUAAUUUUAUUAUUAAGUCAGGGUUCCCCAAAUUUGGGUCUCCAGCUGUUUUUGGACUACAACUCCUAUCAUCCCUAGCUAGCACGACCAGUGGUCAGGGAUGAUGGGAACUGUAGUCCAAAAAACAGCUGGAGACCCAAGUUUGGGAAACCAUAUCUAAGUCUUUCCCUAUGUAGCUUGCAUGCUUGCCUCUGCACUGUCCUGACUUUCCCUUCCUCUUUCCCCAACAUCCACAACGAAGGCAGUGGUUACUAGAGGGAGGGGAGAUUUCAGUGGGAGUUGUAGCCGGGCAGACACAGGUUAAAACUUCUAUUAUAUAUUCAGAUUCUGUCAUCAGAAUUAAUUGUAAACAUUGCACACAUUGGGGGGAAAGGGGGGAUCUGCCACUUACAAAAUGAGAUUAAGAAGAAUUUGGAAUCUGUUGGCAAAGGACAAGAUGCUGAAGGGAAGAACUAGCAAGAGGCAUAGGGCAUUAUGGGCUGGGAACGAUGUAAUUUAUGUCUUGCAAAGUUGACUGGUGGCAAUACUAGUGUAUGUUAAACUAUUUUCACACUCUGCCACAGGUUCCUCAUUAGCUUACCACACAGUUUUUUUAUGAGAGGGAAAAGAAAGAAAACAAGUGGAACAAGAACCCAGCGGGGUUACACACUAAGCUAUCUGCAAUAAAAGAACACCACUGGGUUCUUGUUUAACUUAAAAACUUUUUUGUUUUCUUUCUUUAUCCGCAUAACAACUCCCUCUGAUUGCAAUUAUUUACCUUGUUUUCAUUCUGAUAAAGCCUUCCUGUUUUUUCCCCAACCAAAGCAUUCAUACUAACUCCCCACACACAACACUAGAAGGCACUCUGCACUCCUGUAAGUGCUGCAGCCUCUGCAUAAGAGAAUGCUCCUUUGUUUUCAAAACUCGUCUGCUUCCUGCUCUUAUUGGCUCAGCAGUGUCUCACCUGCUCCUUCAACUCCGCAUAUCAGACUAAGCAGCCUUUUACAAGAAGUGGGAUAUCCUGUAUGUUAACAGGUCCUGUGAUUUAUGGGGACCAACUGUUUUGCUCAUGGCUUCGAGAAAUAAAACUGAAUCAUUUGCUGAAAGAUUUUGGAUGCUGAGUAAUUAGCAUGAUGAUAAUAAAAGUAAACAAUUAUUCCCACACUGUGUGGGCCGAUACAUUUAACCCAUUGUGUUUUCUUAACAAGUGAUACUGUUGUAUGGGUAUGGAGAACCUAUGUCCCUCCAGAUUUUGCUGGACAGCAACGCCCAUGUUCCCUGACCAUUGAGCGUGCUGGCUGGGGGAGUUGGAGUCCAAAAACAACUGGAAUGGCACAGUAACUGCUCUUUUCCUAAGUUUACAAUGUUAGCUGGCUGCUCUGACUAAAUUUCUUCUAAUUGUGAAGAUUUAUCUUGCCCCCACAGAGGAUACAGAUUUUAAUAAUGAUGAUAUUCAGUAUUUAUAUAGUGCAUUGAACACUAAAAUGUUUCACACACAUUUUCUUAGUAAUCCUGCUUUUAUACACAUUGUAAGAGAGAGAGAAAGAGAGAAGUUUACUUAAGGCCACAGGCUGCAAUCCAAUGCUUGCUUACCCAGAAGGAAGCCCCACUGAACAGUGGGACAUAGGUCUGAGCAGACAUGUACAGGAUUGAACAGUUAGAGAUUUAAUGGCUGAACCACGAGGCCUUCCCAGCUUACCAUUGUAACCACUACCAUAAAGGUAAAGGUAAAAAAACCACUGCCAUGUACCAAAACUGACUAACUUGACUAUCCCUAAAGUGAUGUGGGAGUAUAAUUUCAAGUGUGAAGGCCGAGAGAAGCUCUUAAAAAUUGCUUUAAUUCAUAGUAAGCAUCAAGCUUAAACCCAAGCCUUACCAAGUGCAAAUUCCACAAGCGUUUCAUUGUCCUCACUGAGCAUAUCUAGGAACAGGUCCAAUACUUUCAGCUGCCGGAGAUAUUCAUAAUUCUUAGGAUCAUAAGCAAAAUUAGCUAGAUUGGCCAACACCUGCUCCUUGGCUUCUGAAAUAAUAUAAAACAACUCUUGAGGUAAUAUUUUUGGUAUAUAAAUUUUGACACAACUUUGUUAAUAUAUUCAGAAACGUUUAUUUGAGUUUUUGUGGUUGUUUGAUUUUUAUGUAAUAUUGCAUGUCCUAUGCUCUAAUGCAAACAAAAAUAUAUACAAUGCAACCGUGUUAAACAGUUUAAAGAUGAAAAUGAAUAAAAACUGUGUUACCAAAGCAACAACGCUUGAGAGGAGGAAAGAAGCAACUAAGAUGGGCAAGGCAUUUAUACACAUAGAACAAAAGCAGCUAGUGGCCAAUAAAUUAUACUCACCUGAGCUCUCAGUCACCUGGAAUUCAGUGACUAGGGCCUGUAGGUAUUCAAGGCGACCCAGACCAAGUAGGUCCUUGUGGUUUUGGGACAUGCUGCUAGAAGAAAAGGCAGAGUUUCAUUUGAAAUAAUAUUCUGAAGGACGUACUAUUACAGGAGUCCUGAAAGGUUCUGUGAAAGAUUUCUUCUCCAUUUUCAAUCCCAACUUCCUUGUCUUUAAUGUUUAGCCUCUUUAGACUACGUAUAAUUUCAAGCUAAUAAUUUUAUACGAGCAGUGAAUAAACUAUAGCUUUAUUCUUAGAAUUGGGCAGGCUUCCUAAAUGCAUUUUACUUUUCGUUCAGGAAAAAGCAUUUUCCAUCUCCCAAAUGAGGAAAAUCCCACUGCCUCAAAAAAGUACUUCCGCAUGUCUGUAGAAUCAAAUCUACUUUUGACCUGAAAACAAACCAUGAAGCUAAACUUUCCAAGGUAGAUCUUUGCAUAUAACAUUCUCCCUCCAAGCUUCCUACACUGCCGUAUGACAAACUCUCUGUUCAUAUCCCUUAGUAUUUUAAAACACGGAUAUGGUUGAUAUGUGCUUGUUCAGGACAACUCUUAGGUUCUCAGUGAGGCAGGAAACCAUUUGACAUAAAACAUUUUCUAAGCAUGACUAGGCUCCUCACCUUUGUGUACUCAGAAUUACAGCAAAAAAUAUUGCCAAUUUCUCCGAUGUCCUUUAAAAGAACACCCACUACUUCCUCUUUUAAAUAUUAACUAAACAGGGAACUAGAAGACACAGGGCAUACAAAAAUUCAAUCGAUGCCCCCACCAACUAGUAUUCCUACUCUCCAGUUCCUCCACAUAACUAUGGAAAAGCUCCCAGUAAAAUAAAUGAGCCUGUGUGACUAUAACCUACCACUCCACCAGGGCAACACUUUGCGACUUGUGUAGAUGUGUCCUUAAAACACCACUUCUCCAGUAUUUACCUGUGUAUGAUCUAAGGUAAAAGGUAAAGAACCCCUGGAUGGUUAAGUCCAGUCCAAAGCGACUAUGGGGUUGCGGUGCUCAUCUCACUUUCAGGCCAAGGGAGUUGGUGUUUGUCCACAUACAGCUUCCCAGGUCGUAGCCAGCAUGACUAAACCACUUCUGGCACAAUGGGACACAGUGAUGGAAGCCAGAGCGCACGGAAAUGUAGUUUACCUUUCUGCCACAGCGGUCCCUAUUCAUCUACUUGCACUGGUGUGCUUUUGAACUGCUAGGUUGACAGGAGCUGGGACAGAGCAAUGGGAGCUCAUCCCGUUGCAGGGAUUCGAACCACCAACCUUCUGAUUGGCAAGUCUAAGCGGCUCAGUGGCUUAGACCACAGCGUCACCCGUGUGUAUGAUCUAAUGGUCCCAUGAAACAACUGCCACUCCCCUCUCCUUUGGGGUGUCCUCCCCACCAUGGGAAAACAUGUCAUAUGAUGGAUCAGGUUUCCCAUAUUUAUUCUGGAAGACUUUCUGAUCCCUGGAAGGCUGCCCUGACCAGAACAUGGCUGAAAAAGACCUAGGUUAACAUAUUAUUGUUGCUACUAAUAGUGGUGGUAGUAGUCGUCUAUACGGUGGUACCUCGGGUUAAGUACUUAAUUCGUUCCGGAGGUCUGUCUUUAACCUGAAACUGUUCUUAACCUGAGGUACCACUUUAGCUAAUGGGGCCUCCCGCUGCCGCCGCACCGCCGGAGCACAAUUUCUGUUCUCAUCCUGAAGCAAAGUUCUUAACCCGAGGUACUAUUUCUGGGUUAGUGGAGUCUGUAACCUGAAGCGUCUGUAACCCGAGGUACCACUGUAUUUUCUUAUACUGUACUCCGUCUUUCCCCCUGAUAGGGACUCCAGGCGGCUUACAGGUAAACCGAGGUCUAGGAUUGGAUAUUGCCAUAGGAAUCUAACCCUGGGUAUUUCCGUUCGUUUCCCCGCCCACUUCGUUACCUGCUGCCCUUGGAUGGCUCCUUCCUUUGCCCGCACCGGCCUCGCUUUAUCGCCCAGCCGGUGGAGGCACAGCAAAACCUCGCACGGAACUUCCGGACGAGACACGCCGGCACGCACGGAAAAAAACUCCAGGAACGCGCAGGAAACCGGAUGUUGCGUUGAAGAACGGGCAGAAGAGUUACACUAAGGGCAGCACCCUAGCGGGGAACAAGUACCCUUUAGAGGUGGGAGAGUCCGCUCUACCGCUCCGCCGCCGAGUCCCUUCCAGCCAUGGCGGGCUUCUCCGCGAAGAAACGUCUGUCCAAGCCCUUGUUGUUUGGGGGCAUCUUCUGUGCCUUGGCGACCGCCUUCGUGUACAGACAUCGGUUUUUCCCUGAGGUAGAGGAGAUCCGUGCCCGGGAGUAUGAGUACUAUGAAAAGAAACGCCAGGAGGUGCUGCAGAGGCGCCAGCAGCAACUGGCUGAGCUGGCGCAGAAGAAAACAGCCCCGUAAUUGGCCUUCUACUGCUGAGGAAAGACAGAGACCUGACUAAAUGGACUAGAUGACUGUGCUCCCAUGCCAUUGGUUCUUACAGGCGUGUUUGGGCUUGGACUACUCAGCGGGAUUUGAGCAAGUCCUAUCUUAAUUAACUUGAGAGUUCUUGGGAGAGAGCAUGUAAUGUCCAUAAGAAUAAGGAUUUGAGUCUGAGGGAACCUAAGAUUACGUAUUGUUUUUUGCAUUGAUUUUUAAUGCAACUUUUAGCAUAUGAUUUAGCACAAGUGGUCUUGCAACGACUCCAAAAAUUUGCCAUGUUUUGGUGAGUCUUGGCUGCCCUAAACAUUUCAUAUAUGAGUUGUGUGGUUUUUUUUCUUUUUGGUUUUGCUGGUAAUCGUGUAUAAAGGUAAAGGACCCCUGGCAAUUAAGUCCAGUCGCGAAAUAUAUCCCUGCUUUCAGACAAUAUUUCAGAGAUGAACAAUAUUCUUGCUUCCUAUGCAGAAACAUCUAGGUCACUGUUCAGACAAAUGAAUGUCUAUUUCUGGCGUGUGUCUGCUUAAUCACUGAAUGAAGCACAAUUGUUUAUUUUGAAACAUGAAUGAAUUCCUGCAGUUGGAUCAUAGCUGUAAAAGUGAUUGUGAACAGAAAUGAUGCGCUGAUGCAAAUAUAUUACCCAAAUUCUUUGGAA